rnacentral:rRNA from 1 species
CCUACGGGAGGCAGCAGUGGGGAAUAUUGGACAAUGGGCGAAAGCCUGAUCCAGCCAUGCCGCGUGUGUGAAGAAGGCCUUCGGGUUGUAAAGCACUUUCAGUGGGGAAGAAAGCCUUGGGGCUAAUACCCUCGAGGAAGGACAUCACCCACAGAAGAAGCACCGGCUAACUCCGUGCCAGCAGCCGCGGUAAUACGGAGGGUGCGAGCGUUAAUCGGAAUUACUGGGCGUAAAGCGCGCGUAGGCGGUCUGAUAAGCCGGUUGUGAAAGCCCCGGGCUCAACCUGGGAACGGCAUCCGGAACUGUCAGGCUAGAGUGCAGGAGAGGAAAGUAGAAUUCCCGGUGUAGCGGUGAAAUGCGUAGAGAUCGGGAGGAAUACCAGUGGCGAAGGCGGCCUUCUGGACUGACACUGACGCUGAGGUGCGAAAGCGUGGGUAGCAAACAGGAUUAGAUACCCCGGUAGUC